rnacentral:tmRNA from 1 species
GGGGCUGACAUGGAUUUGACAGCAGGAUGAUAGUUUGUGUAAGCACGCAGUGAGUCGGUGAUUGCUCACUAUAAUCCAUAGUUACCAAAGAUUUAAUUGGCGAAAAUACUUACGCUCUCGCUGCUUAAUCGAAGUACAGUAGAUGUAGCUUUAUCAAGGCACAAGGUGCUUUGACGAGAUGUCACUCAAAGGCUCUUGCUCCGAAGCAUUUGAUCCAGUGGCACAGGAAUAUCGGGGAUAGUUGGCAAUGGCCCUGCAUUGUGCAAUGAAUUCUUAAGGGAUAAGAUGCAGGUUGGUGGCCCAGGUCUUGCUUGCAUUCGAAAAUCAAGGCUGGGAUAAGCGUGUAGAAAGCACAGGGUGUCCCUGUUUGGACGAGGGUUCAAUCCCCUCCAGCUCCACUU